AAAUUAUUAUGAUAAAAUUUUUUAUUUACAAUAAAUAAGUUAGUUGUUUAAUUCAACUUAAUUUG
rnacentral:tRNA from 1 species